UCAGGAUAAACGCUGGCGGCGCACAUAAGACAUGCAAGUCGAACGGAAGCCGUUUUAAUGGAAAAGAAGAUUUAUCGGAAUAGAAGUUAAACAAUGACUUUAGUGGCGGACUGGUGAGUAACGCGUGAGCAACCUGCCUAUUAGAGGGGAAUAACAGUGAGAAAUCAUUGCUAAUACCGCAUAAGCUAGUAGUACCGCAUGGUAUAGCUAGAAAAGGAGAAAUCCGCUAAUAGGAUGGGCUCGCGUCUGAUUAGCUAGUUGGUGUGGUAAAGGCAUACCAAGGCAACGAUCAGUAGCCGAGCUGAGAGGCUCUACGGCCACAUUGGGACUGAGAUACGGCCCAGACUCCUACGGGAGGCAGCAGUCGGGAAUAUUGCGCAAUGGAGGAAACUUCUGACGCAGUGACGCCGCGUAUAGGAAGUAAGGUUUUAGGAUUGUAAACUAUUUUAGACAGGGAAGAGAAAAGACAGUACCUGUAGAAUAAGCUCCGGCUAACUACGUGCCAGCCGCCGC
rnacentral:rRNA from 1 species